CAGUAGCCGCGGUAAUACGUAGGGUGCGAGCGUUAAUCGGAUUUACUGGGCGUAAAGCGUGCGCAGGCGGCCCGUUAAGACAGGUGUGAAAUCCCUGGGCCCAACCUAGGAACUGCGCUUGUGACUGGCGGGCUCGAGUACGGUAGAGGGGGGUGGAAUUCCUGGUGUAGCAGUGAAAUGCGUAGAGAUCAGGGGGAACACCGAUGGCGAAGGCAGCCCCCUGGGCCUGUACUGACGCUCAUGCACGAAAGCGUGGGGAGCAAACAGGAUUAGAUACCCCCGUAGUCCCUGUCUCUUAUAU
rnacentral:rRNA from 1 species